GGGGGCGUAAAGGUUUCGACAGGGACCGUGAAGUACGGGAAGCGAGCGGUGGCGUGGGACCACCUUAAAACUCACAAUUUUAAAAUUAAACGACAACAAUAAAGUUGCUCUUGCUGCCUAAUUAGGCAGCCGUCCGAACUGAGAGUACCGCGGCUCAGCCAGGGCGUCGAUUAGCGGUGAACAUGAACGGAAGGUCGCUCAUCCUUCCGUCACGACUUUGAGCUACCAAUGAUAUUAGAGCGACAUUUCUCGAAUAACUGCGGGAAAUCAAACAAAUGUCUGCGCUCGGAGAUGCCUGUAUGAAUCGAUCUUUGGACAGGGGUUCGACUCCCCUCGCCUCCACCA
rnacentral:tmRNA from 1 species